CCUACGGGAGGCAGCAGUGGGGAAUUUUGGACAAUGGGCGCAAGCCUGAUCCAGCAAUGCCGCGUGAGUGAAGAAGGCCUUCGGGUUGUAAAGCUCUUUUGUCAGGGAAGAAACGGUGGGGGCUAAUAUCUCUUGCUAAUGACGGUACCUGAAGAAUAAGCACCGGCUAACUACGUGCCAGCAGCCGCGGUAAUACGUAGGGUGCAAGCGUUAAUCGGAAUUACUGGGCGUAAAGCGUGCGCAGGCGGUUUUGUAAGUUUGUCGUGAAAUCCCCGGGCUCAACCUGGGAAUGGCGAUGAAGACUGCAAGGCUAGAAUCUGGCAGAGGGGGGUAGAAUUCCACGUGUAGCAGUGAAAUGCGUAGAGAUGUGGAGGAACACCGAUGGCGAGGGCAGCCCCCUGGGUCAAGAUUGACGCUCAUGCACGAAAGCGUGGGGAGCAAACAGGAUUAGAUACCCUGGUAGUCCACGCCCUAAACGAUGUCUACUAGUUGUCGGGUUUUAAUUAACUUGGUAACGCAGCUAACGCGUGAAGUAGACCGCCUGGGGAUACGGUCGCAAGAUUAAAACUCAAAGAAUUGACGG
rnacentral:rRNA from 1 species